GGACUACCAGGGUUUCUAAUCCCGUUUGCUCCCCUAGCUUUCGCGCCUCAGCGUCAGAAGAGGUCCAGCACGCCGCUUUCGCCACCGGCGUUCCUUCCGAUAUCUACGCAUUUCACCGCUCCACCGGAAGUUCCGCAUGCCCCUACCUCCCUCGAGAUCACCAGUAUCCAAGGCACUUCUCCAGUUGAGCUGGAGGCUUUCACCCCGGACUUGGCAACCCGCCUACGCGCCCUUUAAGCCCAGUGAUUCCGAACAACGUUCGCACGGUUCGUCUUACCGCGGCUGCUGGCAC
rnacentral:rRNA from 1 species